UCAAGCACACGCGCACGCGCACACAUGUCCAUCCUCGCUCACCGCAACUCACCUCUACGUACAUAGACGAAGACCGCACAUGCAUGCACACGCACACACAUAUAGCCAGCCAUCACGCUUCUAUCAAAGACCCACCUCUUCACACAAAGACCUACCCUUAUACACACGCACACACUCAUCAUGAACCUUGUGCGCGUCGCGCUGCUCUGUGCGUGCACGACGCUGCUGUGCCUCGGUGCCCUCUACUACUACUCCGUGUACGACUACGAGAAACACAUGAGCAUGGUGCAACGCAAGUACUCGGGCUACGAUCCGCUGACAGAUUGUGCAACGCCGUUCGGGCAGCUCCUCGGUGUCGCCGACGACGUUCCGGCGUACAGCAACUGCAAUACCAAGUUUUCCUCAACCUACAUCAACUACGUGAGCCUCAUGGACCCAAUGGACAACGGCCGCCGCGGCGACCCAUCCGAGACGCGCAUUGUCAUGACUGCCUACCGCUACACCGCGUUCGACUACUGCAUGCGGUGGCUCGUGUGGAACCGCGGGGUCAUGCCGCGCCUCGUCGAGAACACGAAUCAGCUGUGGAAGACGGUGGACUACUUCAACCCUGCCAAACCGGAGCAGGGCUGGUCUGCGGAGUACAUCACCAACUACGAGGAGGUGACGGGCAUGGAGGAGCGCAAGUUCAACGCGCCGCGGAGGGCGGACGCGAUCGUCUACCGCAUGGACAAGAACACCAUUCCUGCAGGUCACAUUGCGGUGGUGGUGAAGGUGGAGGACGACGUCGAAGCGGCCGGCGGCCCAGAGAAGCUGAAAGAGCUGAAGAAGAUGCGCCUGCAUCCUCGCCGUGUCUACGUAGCAGAGCAAAACUGGAAGAAUCAGCCGUGGGGUGGGCACAACUACAGCCGCGUGCUGCAGUUCAAAUGGCGCGCCGUAGCAGAGAAGGCAUACGAGGGCUGUUACGUCGACCCCGACGGGCUUGAUAUCAUCGGCGUUGUGCGCGUGGGGAAGGCGAUGCCCCUGCGUGCGGCGCCUGACCCCUACCAAGAGGCGCUCGACAUGGAUAACGACGGCGACCUCUAACAGGUUGAGAGACUCGACAUGAGAGCAAUGAUCGGGGGUUGUGAAGGAGGAGUGCGGCGACUGGGAAGGGGCGUGGACGGGGUGGGCGGGAUCCCCCUUCCUCUCGCAGCGUUGGCUACUCUCGUCACAUUGCAGCGAUUCAAUGAGGAAAGCGUUCACACUGCUUUUCACCAAGCCCCCACCCUCCCCCCCACCUGAUCUUGCCGCGCUGCCCACCCGCCCCCAUCAUCCAUCUGCUUCUCCCUCUCCCUAUCCCCACCCCGCCUCCCAUCGAUGUAUCCGUGAGCGCACCGCACACACAGACAGCACGUGCGCUGAAGUAUUCUUUGGACGUUUUUUUUGCUUUCUCCAAUGCCGCUCACCGUGUCCCCGCGUCGUCUUGCUUUGUGUGGUGUGUGUAGGUGUCCCUCGCCAUCGGGUGGCGAGGUGAGCAUCGACCCCCCACCCCACCCCUACAGCGACACGCGCACACAUGCACAGUGGCACACUUCACCCAUCCUCGUCACC
rnacentral:misc_RNA from 1 species